UAGGGAAUAUUAGAAAUGGACGAAAGUCUGAUCUAGCAACACCGCGUGUGCGAAGAAGGCCUUCGGGUUGUAAAGCACUUUUUGGAAGGAUUAGGAAGGAAUGUACUUCCAGAAUAAGUCUCGGCUAACUACGUGCCAGCAGCCGCGGUAACACGUAGGAGGCAAACGUUAUCCGGAUUUACUGGGCGUAAAGCGCGUGUAGGUGGUUCUGUAAGUAGGGCGUGAAAGCUCCUGGCUCAAUCGGGAGAGGCCGUUCUAAACCGCAGAGCUAGAGGAUGGUAGAGGGAGGUGGAAUUCCGGGUGUAGCGGUGGAAUGCGCAGAUAUCCGGAGGAACACCAGUGGCGAAAGCGGCCUCCUGGACCAUUCCUGACACUCAGACGCGAAAGCUAGGGUAGCAAACG
rnacentral:rRNA from 1 species